GGGGAUCGCGUCGGCGCCCACCCUCGCUCCCCCCGCCACCCGUUGCAGCCCUCCCAUCGCUGCUCCCUCUCGCCUCCUGACACUCCAUCUCAAACCCCAAAGCAUCAGAGCUUCCAAUGGUAGAGAUGCUGUGCGGUGCUGCUGCAGCAGCAGCAGCAACGGCAAACCAGGAUCCAGUUCAGAUGAGAACGACAGUAAAGUUGUUUUGGAUGCAUUUUUCCUGGGCAAGGCUUUUGCAGAGGCACUGAAUGAACGCAUAGGAUCUACUGUGGGGGAAGUAUUGAGCGUGGUCGGUCAAUGGCAAGCUGAGCAACAAAAAGAAGUGCAAGUUUUUCAGGAGGAGGUGAUAGAGAGAGCCAAGAAAGCGAAGGAGAAGGCUGCAUUAGAGGUAAAAGGGGAACAAAGCAGAAUACCGACGACGGUGACUCCUGUUUCGACACCGCCUUUGGGUCCUACUUCAGAUGAUCCUUUCCAAGAGAUGAUGAAGGACUAGCUCAGUCAUUUUUAAUCCAGUUUUACCUAAUAAUAUUUAAGUAAAAGUGAGCCUAUCAUUUCAUCUUUAAGCAUCUUUUGGCCUAUAUAAACCUUAC
rnacentral:misc_RNA from 1 species